rnacentral:rRNA from 1 species
AUUGUAGGCUGCAACUCGCCUACAUGAAGUCGGAAUUGCUAGUAAUCGCGGAUCAGCAUGCCGCGGUGAAUACGUUCCCGGGCCUUGUACACACCGCCCGUCACACCAUGGGAGUUGGUAACACCCGAAGCCUGUAGCCUAACCGCAAGGAGGGCGCAGUCGAAGGUGGGAUUGAUGACUGGGGUGAAGUCGUAACAAGGUACC